GCCAGCAGUUGGAGUGGCAGGAGCUCUUGGAGGACUUCGUGUCAUAGGCUGUGUCCAAGAGAGACUGAGUCUGUAGCCUGAUGGUUUGAGAACUCCCGUCAGCCUUAAUAGAGGAUAAAGAAUUGAUUUGGCAACUUUGGCAGAACCACAUCUGGAUUAGUAAACAGCUGUAAACACUGUAACUAACACCAUACAAGAGAAAAAAAAUUGGAUGAAGCAGUCAGAGAACGAGAUGGUUCUGUCUCCAGUGAGGAAGCUGGCCAGCAUCCUGGGCAGGAGGGUGCAGGUGUAGCAGGUGUCCAAGCAGGACAAGUUUCCCAAGAAGAAGUACAUGGGGGUGUGCAGAUGCUGAACAGCUAUAAUGAGUACAGUGAUGAGGACAUUCCCAGCCACGGUUGCAAUGUAGAGUAGGAGAAACAUCAGGAAGAGAAGUAUUUGUAACUCUGGAAGAAUUUCAAAGCCCAGGAGGAUAAAUUCAGUGAUGGACGUUUGAUUUCCUACUUCUGCAUCUGCCAUGGCAGCAGAGAAAUUCCAUACAGCUCUGCAAAAUAAUCCAAAGGAAAUAAACACCUUUGAAUGCUAUUGAAUCAGUCCAUAUCCUGACUUUUCAAGAGACUAAUCUUGCUUGAACGUGACGGAUCCAGGGAGGUGUUCCAAAGCUCCACUCUGGAGGUGAAUACUGCUGCAUAUUCAUUUCUACAACACCUUCAUGUAAGCCAGUGCCUCACGUGUACCAUUAUGAGAUAAGAAAGGGCAAUAUUUGGUAGAUAUGCAAGAACUGUUUUACAAAGAUGUCUAAUCACUGCACCAUGUAGCCUUCACCCUCACGUCCUAACUUCAUAGGGCAGAACAAAGAUUCUUCUAAUCUGAGAAACUUCAGGUUACAAAAUCUGCAAUGCAAAAAGAAAAUGGACAAAUAUUGCAUGUUCUAUAUUUGGCUGCUUUGUAACAUGAAUUAUGAAUUCCAUCUUUUAAUUAAGACAGCUGACAUCAUAAAUCCUACUCAUACUA